rnacentral:lncRNA from 1 species
CACCUCAACAUGAGCACGAGGAAUUCUUGACUGUACAUUGUAGCUGCAUUCCACCGGAAUUAGCUCGUCGUCCUCGCCGUGGAACACCGUAAUUUCACAUUUUAGCUUGUUCCUUACCAUAUCUAAGUAUCCUUCCAUUUUUCCAGCAGUUCCACAAAUUAUGUUGUGUAGUGUAUGCCAUGCUGCGUUGUGUGUGUGGCAGCAGCUUCACAUUUUAGCUUGUUCCUUACCAUGUCUAAGUAUCCUUCUAUUUUUCCAGCAGUUCCACAUAUUAUGUUGUGUAGUGUAUGCCAUGCUGCGUUGUGUGUGUGGCAACAGAACCCCUCUAUUAAAUAUGUCUUAAUCCUGCAUUCAAUAUUUCGUCAGAUUCUACUAACGAAUUUAACUUCUAUACACUAACAAUGCUAUGAAUUUUCACAUGCGGAUGGGUGGCAAUGGGGGCGGGGUGGGACGGCAUGGGUGCAGUGCAGGUUGGAGCUUACCCCGCAAAAUUUUUUUACCCGCCCACACGUAUGUUGCUAUAAGAAGCAUGGAUGGAUGCCUAUGUAGCAUGGCAAGUGACAUGUUAGAACAGGUAGAACGUAGAACUAUAUAUAUGCAGGUAGUGAAAAAAUAUUUUUAUCGUCGCUGUAUUAAGUUUAAAUUAUUU